rnacentral:lncRNA from 1 species
ACAUAUACGUAAGCUUACAAAUCAUAAUCCUUACCUUGUACUGGCACAUCUAGCUCAACCCAACCCAUACUCAAAUCAUAAGGCUUUUGGGCAGAAUAUGCACUAAUACAUAAGAAUAUUUCAUCGCAUACUUUAUUAUACAAACAUACCAUUACGAAUUAGAUCAUUCUCAUAUUUGGAGUUAUAAUAUUAAUCACAUUUACCUACCUCUUUGAUACUAAUAAUUCACCUCGAAAUCAC